GGAGAUGCGUGACUAUGGUUUAUGAGCUUUGAUCUUGAUUGAAAAAAAAAAUCCUAGUACCCUACAAGUCGUUGAAAAAAAAAGAGAAAAGAGGAAAGAAAAGAAAAAAAAAGUGAGAAAAUUCAAAAAAUGGGUACGUAAGAUGCAUUAGAAAGUCAUAAUGUCAUGAGAAAUAAUUGUUGUGUUGUGGUGGAUUAUAUAUUGAAAAAUUUGGUUUUGUGGAAGGUGGAGGAUAGAAUUGAAUAAGAAUGCUAUAAGGUUGGUGAUGAUGUUACUUUGAUUCGCAUCUUUUAGUCACUUAGCCAAAUAUAUCCUAC
rnacentral:lncRNA from 1 species